AUAACCAUAACCAUUGAGCUUGUUAAUAGCUCUCUCUGCAUCCUCCCUGCUCACAAAGUUGACGAAACCAAACCCUCGGCUCAUCCCAGUUUUCUGAUCAACAGCAACAUAGACACGGGUCACAGGUCCAAAAGUGCGGAACAGCUCAUGCAGAUCAGCCUCCCGGGUGUCCUCAGAGAGGUUGGUAACACGAACUGAGUUCUCAUCGUUGCGACGCCUGCUGUUUGGAUCAGAGCCUCUUGUGUCUGCACCUGCUCUCAUGCUCGGGGGUACAUAAGCUCCUUUGCUGCCAGUGGCUGAUGCACCGCCAGCAGCAGUCUCGGUGGUCGGGGGCUUGUCCAUGAAUCCCUCGUUCUGAGUGGCAAGAUCCCUGUAAGGGCACUUUGAUGUCCAGUGGUCGCCCUUCUUCCCACAAGUCCUGCACACCAUCAGCACAGCGCCUGCUUUCCCUCCCAGAGAAGCCAAUGGGUCACCAGCAGCCAAAGGUUCUUCUUGUUUGCUACCUGGGGCACGAGGCCGCUCAAGAAAAAUUUCCUCAGUCGACACCAUAGUCAACCGACUCCCGGGCUCAUCGUUGACAGCAUCCCCAAACUUAGCCCACGAUCGGCGCUCGAGGGCGCGCUUGCUCAGAUGCGCCCGCGCGAUCUUCCUCACCCUGAUCGUCGUCGUCACCUUCACCUUCCUAUCAUGUUCAUCGAAUUUGUACUCG
rnacentral:misc_RNA from 1 species